rnacentral:rRNA from 1 species
AGCUCCAAUAGCGUAUAUUAAAGUUGUUGUGGUUAAAAAGCUCGUAGUUGGAUCUCAACAGUCUUGAAGCGGUCAACUUUGUAGUUGUACUGCUUUGUAGACUGUGCUUUUGCUGGAGGUUUAGGGGUGCUCUUAAUCGAGUGUCUCUGGAUGCCAGCAGGUUUACUUUGAAAAAAUUAGAGUGCUCAAAGCAGGCUAAAAUGCCUGAAUAUUCGUGCAUGGAAUAAUAGAAUAGGAUGUCGAUCCUAUUUUGUUGGUUUUCGGGACUUGACAUAAUGAUUAAUAGGGACAGUCGGGGGCAUUUGUAUUCAAACGACAGAGGUGAAAUUCUUGGACCGUUUGAAGACAAACUACUGCGAAAGCAUUUGCCAAGAAUGUUU